CCUACGGGAGGCAGCAGUGGGGAAUAUUGCACAAUGGGGGGAACCCUGAUGCAGCAACGCCGCGUGGGUGAAGAAGUACUUCGGUAUGUUAAGCCCCGUCAGCAGGGAAGCAAAUGACGGUACCUGACCAAGAAGCACCGGCUAACUACGUGCCAGCAUCCGCGGUAAUACGUAGGGGGCACGCGUUAUCCGGAUUUACUGGGUGUAAAGGGAGCGUAGACGGCAAGGCAAGUCUGGAGUGAAAGCCCGGGGCUCAACCACGGGACUGCUUUGGAAACUGUGUUGCUGGAGUGCAGGAGGGGUAGGCGGAAUGCCUAGUGUAGCGGUGAAAUGCGUAGAUAUUAGGAGGAACACCGGUGGCGAAGGCGGCUUACUGGACUGUAACUGACGUUGAGGCUCGAAGGCGUGGGGAGCAAACAGGAUUAGAUACCCCAGUAGUC
rnacentral:rRNA from 1 species